GACGAACGCUGGCGGCGUGCCUAAUACAUGCAAGUCGAACGAGAGCGCCCGGUGCUUGCACUGGUCAAUCUAGUGGCGAACGGGUGAGUAACACGUGGGUAACCUGCCCAUCAGAGGGGGAUAACAUCCGGAAACGGAUGCUAAAACCGCAUAGGUCUUCGAACCGCAUGGUUUGAAGAGGAAAAGAGGCGCAAGCUUCUGCUGAUGGAUGGACCCGCGGUGCAUUGGCUAGUUGGUGAGGUAACGGCUCACCAAGGCCGUGAUGCAUAGCCGACCUGAGAGGGUGAUCGGCCACAUUGGGACUGAGACACGGCCCAAACUCCUACGGGAGGCAGCAGUAGGGAAUCUUCCGCAAUGGACGCAAGUCUGACGGAGCAACGCCGCGUGAGUGAAGAAGGUUUUCGGAUCGUAAAACUCUGUUGUUAGAGAAGAACAAGUGCUAGAGUAACUGUUAGCGCCUUGACGGUAUCUAACCAGAAAGCCACGGCUAACUACGUG
rnacentral:rRNA from 1 species